AUGGGGGAUCUGCAGAUCGUGCUGGCCGGGGGGACGAUCGAGGCGCAGCACGUGGAGAUGAAGGUGCCCCUCUACUCCUACGGCUGCGAGAAGAAGAUCAAGAAGGCGCUGUCGAAUCUGAAAGGGAUUCACUCGGUUCAGGUGGAUUACCACCAGCAGAAGGUGACGGUGUGGGGGAUCUGCAACCGGAACGACGUGCUGGCCGCCGUCCGGCGGAAGCGGCGAGCGGCGCGGUUCUGGGGCGCGGACCAGCCGGAUCUGGGCGAGGACGCUAGGCUGGGGGACGCCCAGAAGCACUACCUGCGGGCGUUCGCCGCGUACAGGAGUAGGAAGUCGUGGAAGAAGCUCUUCCCCAUGAUCCGGCUGUAA
rnacentral:rRNA from 1 species